rnacentral:rRNA from 1 species
AUGUGUGAUGCUAGUGAUUAUGUUGUAUGUGCUGUUCAGGGUCAAAGAGUUGAUAAGAAGUUGAAUGUCAUCCCAUAUGCUAGUAAAACUCUAGACAAUGCCCAGAGAAAUUAUGCUACUACUGAAAAAGAAUUUUUAGUAGUUGUUUUUGCUUCUGAUAAGUUCAGACCUUAUAUUGUUGAUUCUAAAGUAACUAUUCACACUGAUCAUGCUGCUAUUAAAUACCUUAUGGAAAAGAAAGAUGCUAAACCUAGACUUAUUAGAUGGGUUGUCUUGCUACAAGAAUUUGAUUUGCAUAUUAUUGGUAGAAAGGGAGGUGAGAACCCCGUUGCAGACAACUUGUCUAGGUUAGAAAAUGUUCUUGAUGACCCACUACCUAUUGAUGAUAGCUUCCCCGAUGAACAAUUAAAUGUCAUAAAUGCUUCUCAUACUGCUUCAUGGUAUGCUGAUUAUGCUAAUUACAUUGUUGCUAAAUCUAUACCACCUGGUUUCACAUACCAGCAAAAGAAGAAUUUUUUCUAUGAUUUGAGACAUUACUUUUGGGAUGACCCACAUCUUUAUAAAGAAGGAGCAGAUGGUAUUAUUAGGCGUUGUGUACCUGAGCAUGAACAGGAACAGAUCCUACACAAGUGUCACUCUGAGGCUUAUGGAGGACACCAUGCUGGAGACAGAACUGCACAUAAGGUAUUGCAAUCCAGUUUUUAUUGGCCUACUCUCUUCAAGGAUGCCCGUAAGUUUGUCUUAUCUUGUGAUGAAUGUCAAAGAAUUGGUAAUAUUAGUAGACGUCAAGAAAUGCCUAUGAAUUAUUCACUCGUUAUCGAACCAUUUGAUGUUUGGGGCUUUGAUUAUAUGGGACCAUUUCCUUCCUCUAAUGGGUAUACACAUACUUUAGUUGCUAUUGAUUAUGUUACUAAGUGGGUAGAAGCUAUUCCAACUAGUAGUGCUAAUCAUAACACCUCUAUUAAUAUGCUUAAAGAAUUUAUUUUUCUGAGGUUUGGAGUCCCUAGAUAUUUAAUGACUGAUGGUGGUUCACAUUUUAUUCAAGGUGCCUUUCGUAAAAUGCUUGCUAAGUAUGAUGUUAAUCAUAGAAUUGCAUCUCCUUAUCACCCACAGUCUAGUGGUCAUGUAUAA